rnacentral:hammerhead_ribozyme from 1 species
AUCCGGCUGACGAGUCCGAAAUAGGACGAAACGUGCGUCCCGGAU